rnacentral:rRNA from 1 species
CUACGGGACGCAGCAGUGAGGAAUAUUGCACAAUGGGGGGUACCCUGAUGCAGCAACGCCGCGUGGAGGAUGACGCAUUUCGGUGUGUAAACUCCUUUUAUAUGUCAAGAAAAUGACGGUAGCAUAUGAAUAAGCACCGGCUAACUCCUUGCCAGCAGCCGCGGUAAUACGGAGGGUGCAAGCGUUACUCGGAAUCACUGGGCGUAAAGGACGCGUAGGCGGGUUGGAAAGUCAGGUGUGAAAUCCUACAGCUUAACUGUAGAACUGCACUUGAAACUUCUAAUCUAGAGUAUGAGAGGGGGAGAUGGAAUUAGUGGUGUAGGGGUAAAAUCCGUAGAUAUCACUAGGAAUACCUAAAGCGAAGGCGAUCUCCUGGAACAUUACUGACGCUAAGGCGUGAAAGCGUGGGGAGCAAACAGGAUUAGAUACCCCGGUAGUC